AAUGUCGGCCGUAACUAUAACGGUCCUAAGGUAGCGAAAUUCCUUGUCGGGUAAGUUCCGACCCGCACGAAUCGUGUAACGAGUUGACGACUGUCUCGGAGAGAUGCUCGGUGAAAUUGUAGUAGCGGUGAAGAUGCCGCUUACCCGCAACGGGACGAAAAGACCCCGUGCACCUUUACUAUAGCUUCACAUUGACAUUGGGAUAAUGAUGUGUAGGAUAGGUGGGAGACUCUGAAGCUGCGCCGCCAGGCGUGGUGGAGUCGUUGGUGAAAUACCACCCUUUAUUCUUCUGAUGCCUAAUCCGCCUACCGGCGGAGACAGUGUGUGGUGGGUAGUUUGACUGGGGUGGUCGCCUCCAAAAGAGUAACGGAGGCUCCUAAAG
rnacentral:rRNA from 14 species